GUGCUGUUUCCAUUCUAUCUUGAAUUACUUGGAUGGUGACAAUGUUGAUGUCUGGCUGAUGGCAGUGCCUCUAUUAAAGUGCUGUUGAUCUAGAUUUUAUAAUUAGUGCGAACCUGUAAGGCAAAAUUUUAGAUUUCACAAUCAAGAAUUGAAAAAUUUACCCAAAAAAACUAAAAUCAAAAUUUAAAACCUCAACCUGAUGAUUUUUAAAAUUUUAAUCUUAUAAAAUUUCAGCCCAAUCCAGCUGUUGGAUUUAAAGCUAUGACCUUUAACAUAUAGUUGUUUAGCUAAGCUUUAGUACAUGUUAAGUAGCUUGAUCCCUUGGAUCACAUUGAUUAAGGCAUUUUUUUGAACUCAAUUUCAUGAUUGACUUGACCUUAGAAGAAAUUCCCAAGCUUUCUCAACCCAAGUGCCUGAAUUAGUCCAUUGAAUGUCCCUUUGAUUUUUUUGGCUCAUGCCCUAAAUGUCCAAUUAGCAUAUGCAAUGGAUCCUAUGGUAUUUCUUGUUGAUUCUCAUUAUUUCUCUUUUCUCAAAAGCAUUUGACCUUGAAUUAUCACCCACAUCAAAAGAAGAAAGAUUAUAAAUAUUAAAUGUAUCACUAAUAUAACACUCAUAUGGAAGUUCCAAUUUAUAUGCUUUGUUUGUAAUUCGUUCAAGGACUUUGAAUGAAUCAUUCCCUCUGGAUUGCAACUUAAAUCGUUUAUGGGCUAGAAAUCUUUCCUUCCUCAUAAUCACCUAAACCCAGUCUCUAGGUGAAAAGAUAACAUGUCUAUGAUCUUUGUUAGUUUAAGAGUUACUGUUCAUUCUUCUUUUCUACGUGCUGCCAAACACUCAUGAAGUUUCCUCACCGUAUCAGCCUCCUUCUUUCUAUCAAUAUCAAUUCUUUCAUCAAUAGGUAAAGGCAACAAAUCCAAGGAGUUAGCGGAUUAAAACCAUGAACAAUUUUAAAUGGAGAAUAAUUUAGUAGAAUGCACUUUUAUUACAUGCAAACUCAAUAAAUGACACACUCCCAACUUUUCAAAUUUUUUUGAAUGAUGGUACAUAAUAAAGUAGUUAAAGUCAUAUCGACCACUUUCAUUUGGCUAUCUUUUUGUGGAUAACAGUUAGUUGAAAAUAAUAGUUUAGUUUCCAGCUUUACCUACAAAACCUUUUAAAAAUAUCAAAGGAGCUUAAUACCCUGAUCUGAAACAGUACUGAAAGGAACACCUUAAAGUCGUAUUAUCUUCCUAAAGAACAAAUAAAAAUAUUGGUUGCAUCAUUGGUUUUAUGACAUUUUAUGAAAUGUGUCAUUUAGAAAACUCAUCUACAACUAUAAAAAUUGAAUUUAUACCUCUUUUUAAAACCUUAGAUUUGGCUUGUCUACACGGGAUAUGUUUUUCACAUAUUUUUUGUACAUCAUGUUUCAUCUCAAGUUAAACAAAUGUUCAGGCAACACAUCUAAAGUCGUUUUCACACCAAAAUGACCCAUCAAAUUAACCGCAUGAUCUUCAUGCGCAAGCAGGUGCAAAUCAUUAUCAUUGGCAUAUAAGGCUUUAAUAUACUUAAAUCUCAAUAAUCUUGCAUUUAAAGUAGCGAUAAGAAUGUACCUUCUAGAUAGUGCAUCAAUCACUAUAUUUUCUUUACCUUGCAUGCAUUUAGUGACAUAAAAAGGUCUCAAUGAACUCUAUCCAUUUGGCAUAUCUCACAUGCAGUUUACCUUGUCAUUAGAAGUGCUUCAAUGAUUUGUGAUGUGUAUGGAUAAUGAACUAUUUUGGCUACAAGUAAUGGUGCUAAGUCUCUAAAGUCGUAACCAAUGUAUAAAGCCCAUAGUCAUAAGCUAGGCAGUUCAACGCUGCUCUGUUUAGCUUUUCACUAAAAUAGUAAUGAUUAGAGAUAAAUCUUCUUUUCAUAACAACUUUUAUCUCAUCCCAACUCUCAAUAGACCUCUCAUGAUUUCUCCAAUUUAACCAUAUAAUUGCAUAAUCAAUAAAUUUUAUCACAACUAACUUAACCUUUUUCUUCUUAGAAUAGUUACAACAAUAAAAAAUCAACUUUACUUCUCCACUCUAGGUAAGUUUUCGGAAACAUUCCUCCUUUGAAAAUAGAGAAUCUUCAUUUUAAUACUCUCAAGGUUUCUAUCCAUACCUUCACAACUUCUAGUAUCUCUUCUGAACUUUUUAUCACACAAAUCAUAGUUUGCCAAAACCUCUCCCUAUUGUUGAAUGAUGCUUGAUGAGAUUUAUCUGCAUUUUCAUCUUCAUUCUCAACACCAAUCUUAUCUAUGGGUAUGAGAGCACGUCUCUCUUGCUUUCUAGCAUCAGAGACCUUUUAGGAUUGUCAUUCAUGCAAAUUAGCAAUCAUAGCAUCUUGUUUAUCCAUUUGAUCCCUUGUAUCACCAAAUACAACAUUCACACGCUUAAACUGUUGUUGCAAUGCCUAUAACACAAAGAACGUGUUUUUCUUCUCAUUCUUGGGUGAUGAUAUUGGAAGACAUUCAAAUCUAAAAAAAAAAAAUCAGUUAGUAAUAAAUCUCACAUAGUCCCUUACAUGUUUUCACUCAAAGAUUUGUCAUUACACUCGUGUUUCACUCUUGACUUGUUCUUUUUGGACUUGUCUUUUACCUCUCUUAACUCCCCUUUUCAGAUCUUUAUUGAACCAAACAAAAUCAAUCAAAAGAAAUAUGAUCUAUAGUUCAAACUACCAAAUUCAAAAUGAUAAAGACAAACACAAUAUGAAAAGAAAUUUAGGAAUAACUCAACAAACCUGAAUUCAAUAUGGAAUACCCCAACAAACCAAUUUCAAUAUGAACUAUCCCAACAAACUGAUUUCAGUAUGUACUUUUGAUUUGUGAUUUUACUUUUUCUAAAAUUUUUUUUUAAUGAGAUUGCAAAUCAAAAAACAAGAAAAUCAAAUUCAUUAACAAGAUGAAUAUAUUAUCCUAAAUAUGCACACAAGAUUAAUUAAACCCUAUAUGGUGCGAUUUCGAUGCAAGGAAUAAGCAAUAACAAAAACAAGAGCAAAACAUAAUUUUAAAAUAGUGAACUUAAUUUUAUAUUCAAGCUCUAAUACUAAAUUGAUGCGAAUCUGGAGGGUCAAAUACUAGAACUUACAAUCAAUAAUUGAAAUAUUUACCUAAAAAGGCUAAAAUCAGAUUAUAAAACUUUUGACUCGUUGAUUACUUGAAUCAAUAAUCAAAGAUGUAUGGUUAGAAUGCCACAAAGAUGAUCUUUCAUAUAAGUUCAAUAAAAAAACCAAAAGCAAGGGUGCUAAUGCCAAUUUUAUUCACUAUUAGAAAUUUAUUUUUUCACAACCAAAAAA